rnacentral:sRNA from 1 species
GGAAGGAUCAUUACAGAAUUGUCAACGGGUUGUUGCUGGUCCUCGAACGGGGACAUGUGCACGCUCUGUUUACACAUCCACUCACACCUGUGCACCCUCUGUAGUUCUGUGGUCUGGGGGACCCUGUCUUCCUGCCGUGGUUCUACGUCUUUACACACACACUGUAAUAAAGUCUUAUGGAAUGUAUGCCGCGUCUAACGCAAUACAAUACAACUUUCAGCAACGGAUCUCUUGGCUCUCGCAUCGAUGAAGAACGCAGCGAAAUGCGAUAAGUAAUGUGAAUUGCAGAAUUCAGUGAAUCAUCGAAUCUUUGAACGCACCUUGCGCCCCUUGGCUAUUCUGAGGGGCAUGCCUGUUUGAGUAUCAUGAACACCUCAACUCUCAUGGUUCGCCGUGAUGAGCUUGGACUCUGGGGGUUUUGCUGGCCUGCGGUCGGCUCCCCUCAAAUAAAUCAGCCUCCCAGUGUUUGGUGGCAUCACGGGUGUGAUAAAUAUCUACGCUCGCAGUUGUCCGCCAGGUAACCUUUGGUGACAAAGGUUCGCUGGAGCUCACAGAUGUCUCUCCUCAGCGAGGACAGCUUUUUGAACGUUCGAUCUCAAA